CCCGGUAAUUCCAGCCCCAAGUAGCGUAUAUUAAAGUUGUUGCAGUUAAAAAGCUCGUAGUUGAAUUUCGGGAUCAAUAUAUCGGUCGUGCCUUGGUACGUACUGGUAUCAUUGGUUUCUCCUUUCUGACGAACCAUGAUGUCAUUAAUUUGGUGUUAUGGGAAAUUAGGACUGUUACUUUGAAAAAAUUAGAGUGUUUAAAGCAGGCUUNAGCUUGAAUACAUUAGCAUGGAAUAAUGAAAUAGGACGUUCGAACCUAUUUUGUUGGUUUCUAGGAUCAACGUAAUGAUUAAUAGGGAUAGUUGGGGGCAUUAGUAUUCAAUUGUCAGAGGUGAAAUUCUUGGAUUUAUUGAAGACUAACUACUGCGAAAGCAUUUGCCAAGGAUGUUUUCAUUAAUCAAGAACGAAAGUUAGGGGAUCGAAGACGAUCAGAUACCGUCGUAGUCUUAACCAUAAACUAUGCCGACUAGGGAUCGGAUGAUGU
rnacentral:rRNA from 1 species